rnacentral:rRNA from 1 species
AACGUAGGAGACAAACGUUAUCCGGAGUUACUGGGCGUAAAGGGCGUGUAGGUGGUAUCGUAAGUCUGGCGUGAAAUUUCUCGGCUUAACCGAGGCAGGUCGUCGGAUACUGCGAGGCUAGAGGACGGUAGAGGCGUGUGGAAUUCCGGGUGUAGUGGUGAAAUGCGUAGAGAUCCGGAGGAACACCAGUGGCGAAGGCGACACGCUGGGCCGUACCUGACACUGAUGCGCGAAAGCCAGGGGAGCGAACGGG